rfam:Oryza rufipogon genomic scaffold, chr12
AAUAAAUGCAGUUUUGCACUAUUCAUCUUCAACAUUUGACCGUUCGUCUUAUUUAAAAUUUUUUUAUGAUUACUAUUUUUAUUAUUAUUAGAUGAUAAAACAUGAAUAUACUAUUUUUUAAAAAAAAUCAUAAAAUUUUCAAAUAAGACGGACGGUCAAACGUUGGACACGGAGUUCCACGGCUGCACUUAUU